AGGGAUGCACAGUAACCACAACAUAUACCAUGCUUCACCUUAAAUGUAUUUUUACUGUGGAUUUUUUACGUAUGUUAACCACAGCACUUGUCAUUUUACCAUAGUAACUGUUUACUGUCUACUCUUUGUAUUAAAAGCACUGUAUAACACAGCACUUACCAUGGUUUUACCACAGUGACUGUAUUUUUAAUGUGGUAUUUGUAGUUAAAGCACAUAACCACAACACUUAAUAUGGGUUUACCUCAGUAGCCGUAGUUUUACUGUGGUAUUUGUAGUUACUAAAGCACAAUAACCACAGCAUUUACCAUGGUUUUACCACAGUAACUGUGUUUUUACUCUAUACUAUUUGUAAAGCACAGUAACCACAAUGCUUGCCACGCCUUUAAUACCUUUUUGUGAAGUCAUUGUAAUUCAAUAUUUUUUUUCUGUCUUGCAGUUACGUCAGAUCACAUACUCCACAACAACCUGUAAUCCAGCAGCUCUUUUAAGAAGCCAUCUCUUAAUUAACAGGGAACUUGCACUCGAAGCUCCCAAUGCUGAUCUUGAAGAAGCUGCCAAGGAGGCUGAACAAGUCCUUCAAAGGUUCAGCCCUUCACAGCUGAAAAGGAAGACCAAAGGAAGGCCUGUCAUGGGAUUUGAAUUUGAGCAUCUUGAGCAUUUAUGGAGAAGACCAAAAGCUGCAAAGGCAAACACUUCCAAUGGUACGUCUGUGUUGAUCUGAGCACCUUGACUGAACUGUACUGC